ACCAGACUCCUACGGGAGGCAGCAGUGGGGAAUAUUGCACAAUGGGGGAAACCCUGAUGCAGCAACGCCGCGUGAGUGAAGAAGUAUUUCGGUAUGUAAAGCUCUAUCAGCAGGGAAGAAGAAGGACGGUACCUGACUAAGAAGCCCCGGCUAACUACGUGCCAGCAGCCGCGGUAAUACGUAGGGGGCGAGCGUUAUCCGGAUUUACUGGGUGUAAAGGGAGCGUAGACGGUUAAUCAAGUCUGAAGUGAAAGCCCGCGGCUCAACUGCGGAACGGCUUUGGAAACUGAGUAACUGGAGUGCUGGAGGGGCAGGCGGAAUUCCUGGUGUAGCGGUGAAAUGCGUAGAUAUCAGGAGGAACACCGGUGGCGAAGGCGGCCUGCUGGACAGUAACUGACGUUGAGGCUCGAAAGCGUGGGGAGCAAACAGGAUUAGAUACCCGGGUA
rnacentral:rRNA from 1 species